CUAGUACUUCCUUCGUCCGGAAAUACUUGUCAGCGAAAUGAAUAUGUAAAUAUAUUUUAGUUUUAGAUACAUCCAUUUUUAUCUAUUUAUGCGAUAAGUAUUUUCGGACGGAGGGAGUAGGUA
rfam:Triticum aestivum genome assembly, contig: Triticum_aestivum_CS42_TGACv1_scaffold_061370_1DL